rnacentral:rRNA from 1 species
CAGUCGCCGCGGUAACACCGAGGGUGCGAGCGUUAAUCGGAUUUACUGGGCGUAAAGCGUGCGUAGGCGGCUUCUUAAGUCGGAUGUGAAAUCCCUGAGCUUAACUUAGGAAUUGCAUUCGAUACUGGGAAGCUAGAGUAUGGGAGAGGAUGGUAGAAUUCCAGGUGUAGCGGUGAAAUGCGUAGAGAUCUGGAGGAAUACCGAUGGCGAAGGCAGCCAUCUGGCCUAAUACUGACGCUGAGGUACGAAAGCAUGGGGAGCAAACAGGAUUAGAUACCCCCGUAGUCCCUGUCUCUUAUAC